GCCAGAUGUGACAUCAUGAUGACCCAGUCUUCAUCCUCCCGGUCUGAAUCUCCAGGAGACAAAGUCACCAUCACCUGCAGGGCCAGUCAGAGUAUUAACAGUUGGUUAGCUUGGCAUCAACAGAAGCCAGGGCAAGCUCCUAAACGCCUGAUAUAUAAGGCAUCCAAUUUGCAAUCUGGGGUCCCCUCGAGGUUCAGUGGCAGUGGAUCUGGGACAGAUUACUCUCUCACAAUCAGCAGCCUGGAGCCUGAAGAUGUUGCCACUUAUUACUGCCUACAGGGUAGUAGUUGGCCACCCACAGUGAUACAGGCCCUGACAAAAACCUCCCAGGGAGCAGAAG
rnacentral:lncRNA from 1 species